ensembl:lncRNA
GAGUUACAGCGAGCAUUCUUUCUGGGCUUUUGGGCUAUGUGUUAGCUAGGGUUUGGUUGAUCUGCAUUGGGCUGACCUUGGCUUGGCUCCAAGCACUGAAAGACUGGGUGUAGAGAAGAUGCUUCUGGCCGCACCUGAAUGAGGGCAAAGCCAGACGACAAGAUAACAAACAGCCCCAGUUUGUGCUGUGACUCAGCCCCCACCAGCUGGAUUGCAGCAACCCCAGCUCCUUGCCUGCCUCUGACUCAGAUGAAGGACAUCCUUGUCCCGUGGAACAUCUGGCUCCCAGAUCAGAGAACAGAAUGCAGCCUCGAGAUGAGAUGGCUUGUCCAGCAUCACACAGAAGAUAGGACCCAGUGUGUGUUCAUGCAUGUUAAGUCAAUUCAGUCAUGUCCAGCUCUUUGUGACCCCGUGGACUGUAGCCCACAGGCUCCUCUGUCCGUGGAAUUCUCCAGGCAAGAACACUGGAGUAGGUUUCUGUGCCCUCCUCCAGGGGCUCCUCGUGACCCAGGGAUCAAACCCAUGUCUCUUGCUUUGGCAGUUGUGUUAUUUACCACUUUCAGUACCUGGGAAGCCCAGGAGGUCCCAGAGUGGGGCUUCUCUAUGCUGUACAUCAGAGUUUCGACCUCGGCACUAUGGAUGUUUUGAGUGGAAUAAUUAUUUGUUUUGGAGGGCUGUCCUGUACAUCGAAGCAUGUGUAGCAACAUCCCUGGCUUCUACUCACUACACGUCAGCAGCACGCCUCUCCCCACUUUGGGGUAACCAGAAA